UACGUAGGGUGCAAGCGUUGUCCGGAAUUAUUGGGCGUAAAGAGCUCGUAGGCGGUCUGUCGCGUCGGAUGUGAAAAUCCAGGGCUCAACCCUGGACCUGCAUUCGAUACGGGCAGACUAGAGUUCGGUAGGGGAGACUGGAAUUCCUGGUGUAGCGGUGAAAUGCGUAGAUAUCAGGAGGAACACCGGUGGCGAAGGCGGCUCUCUGGAUGGUGACUGACGCUGAGACGCGAAAGCGUGGGGAGCAAACAGG
rnacentral:rRNA from 1 species